UCUACAUCAGCUUCUGUUUUGUUUAGUUUUUGUUAAAAAUAAAUUAUUCUUAAAUUUGAAUACGUUAUAUUCUAAUGUCUAAACUCUAAAAGAAAAACCUCAAAUAACCUAGAACCGGGAUUUUAAAAAAUUGAAAUAUGAUCUUCGUGAUGGUGGCAAGGACUUUGUUGUCCAUUAACCGAAAGAUCCACUGCCUCUCUUGGUAUUGUCCAAGGAAAAGUUCUGAAGGGAGAAGACUGUGCUGCACUUAUGUUCAUCCAAAAAUUAAUACAGAAUUCUUACAAAAAGAGGUACAUUCAUAUGUACCUACAUGUAAUAGGAACUUGUGUUUCAGAUAUAUUUUGCAAAAAAAAAACAAAAAAAAAAAACAAA